CCCUUAGAUGUCCGGGGCCGCACGCGCGCUACACUGAAGGAAUCAGCGUGGCUUUCUCCCUGACCCGAAAGGGUUGGGAAACCCGUUGAAUCUCCUUCGUGAUAGGGAUUGGGGCUUGAAGUUGUUCCCCAUGAACGAGGAAUUCCCAGUAAGCGCGAGUCAUAAGCUCGCGUUGAUUACGUCCCUGCCCUUUGUACACACCGCCCGUCGCUACUACCGAUUGAACGGUUUAGUGAGGGCCUCGGAUUGGUCUCGGCCCGCUCUUUACCGGGCGGCGCCGUUGGUCGAGAAGACGCUCGAACUUGAUCGUUUAGAGGAAGUAAAAGUCGUAACA
rnacentral:rRNA from 1 species